rnacentral:rRNA from 1 species
CCUACGGGAGGCAGCAGUAGGGAAUAUUGGGCAAUGGAGGCAACUCUGACCCAGCCAUGCCGCGUGCAGGAUGAAGGCGUUAUGCGUUGUAAACUGCUUUUAUAUAGGAAGAAAGAGUUCUUGCGAGAACAGUUGACGGUACUAUAUGAAUAAGCACCGGCUAACUCCGUGCCAGCAGCCGCGGUAAUACGGAGGGUGCAAGCGUUGUCCGGAUUUAUUGGGUUUAAAGGGUGCGUAGGCGGUUUAUUAAGUCAGUGGUGAAAGACGGUCGCUCAACGAUUGCAGUGCCAUUGAUACUGGUAGACUUGAGUGAGAUUGAGGUAGCUGGAAUGGAUAGUGUAGCGGUGAAAUGCAUAGAUAUUAUCCAGAACACCAAUUGCGUAGGCAAGUUACUAAGUCUUAACUGACGCUGAGGCACGAAAGUGUGGGUAUCAAACAGGAUUAGAUACCCUGGUAGUCCACACUGUAAACGAUGAUAACUAACUGUUGGCUUUCGGGUCAGUGGUACAGAGAAAUCGUUAAGUUAUCCACCUGGGGAGUACGCCGGCAACGGUGAAACUCAAAGGAAUUGACCGGNNGAGAGNGCGACGACGACGACGAGGGAGGAGG